GAGUUUGAUCCUGGCUCAGGAUGAACGCUGGCGGCGUGCUUAACACAUGCAAGUCGAACGAUGAUCCCAGCUUGCUGGGGGAUUAGUGGCGAACGGGUGAGUAACACGUGAGUAACCUGCCCUUAACUCUGGGAUAAGCCUGGGAAACUGGGUCUAAUACCGGAUAUGACUCCUCAUCGCAUGGUGGGGGGUGGAAAGCUUUAUUGUGGUUUUGGAUGGACUCGCGGCCUAUCAGCUUGUUGGUGAGGUAAUGGCUUACCAAGGCGACGACGGGUAGCCGGCCUGAGAGGGUGACCGGCCACACUGGGACUGAGACACGGCCCAGACUCCUACGGGAGGCAGCAGUGGGGAAUAUUGCACAAUGGGCGAAAGCCUGAUGCAGCGACGCCGCGUGAGGGAUGACGGCCUUCGGGUUGUAAACCUCUUUCAGUAGGGAAGAAGCGAAAGUGACGGUACCUGCAGAAGAAGCGCCGGCUAACUACGUGCCAGCAGCCGCGGUAAUACGUAGGGCGCAAGCGUUAUCCGGAAUUAUUGGGCGUAAAGAGCUCGUAGGCGGUUUGUCGCGUCUGCCGUGAAAGUCCGGGGCUCAACUCCGGAUCUGCGGUGGGUACGGGCAGACUAGAGUGAUGUAGGGGAGACUGGAAUUCCUGGUGUAGCGGUGAAAUGCGCAGAUAUCAGGAGGAACACCGAUGGCGAAGGCAGGUCUCUGGGCAUUAACUGACGCUGAGGAGCGAAAGCAUGGGGAGCGAACAGGAUUAGAUACCCUGGUAGUCCAUGCCGUAAACGUUGGGCACUAGGUGUGGGGGACAUUCCACGUUUUCCGUACCGUAGCUAACGCAUUAAGUGCCCCGCCUGGGGAGUACGGCCGCAAGGCUAAAACUCAAAGGAAUUGACGGGGGCCCGCACAAGCGGCGGAGCAUGCGGAUUAAUUCGAUGCAACGCGAAGAACCUUACCAAGGCUUGACAUGAACCGGUAAUACCUGGAAACAGGUGCCCCGCUUGCGGUCGGUUUACAGGUGGUGCAUGGUUGUCGUCAGCUCGUGUCGUGAGAUGUUGGGUUAAGUCCCGCAACGAGCGCAACCCUCGUUCUAUGUUGCCAGCGCGUGAUGGCGGGGACUCAUAGGAGACUGCCGGGGUCAACUCGGAGGAAGGUGGGGACGACGUCAAAUCAUCAUGCCCCUUAUGUCUUGGGCUUCACGCAUGCUACAAUGGCCGGUACAAAGGGUUGCGAUACUGUGAGGUGGAGCUAAUCCCAAAAAGCCGGUCUCAGUUCGGAUUGGGGUCUGCAACUCGACCCCAUGAAGUCGGAGUCGCUAGUAAUCGCAGA
rnacentral:rRNA from 1 species